CCUUGCGUUCAUACUCCUUGCGCAUGAACUUUUGAAAUCUUUUGAUAACGAGUCCAAACUCGUUGUCUCCUUCCUCAUCAAUUUGUGUGCCCGGUUUCACCACAUUCAUAGCACUUGAUUUGUUCGCCUUGCUUUUUCCCCUUGCGUUCAUACUCCUUGCGCAUGAACUUUUGAAAUCUUUUGAUAACGAGUCCAAGCUCGUUGUCUCCUUCCUC
rnacentral:lncRNA from 1 species